GAUGAACGCUGGCGGCGUGCUUAACACAUGCAAGUCGAACGGAAAGGCCGAGGCUUGCUUCGGUACUCGAGUGGCGAACGGGUGAGUAACACGUGGGUAACCUGCCCUGUACUUCGGGAUAAGCUUGGGAAACUGGGGCUAAUACCGGAUAUGACCUCCUCUUGGAUGGGGUUGUGGAAAGAUUUUGGGGUAUGGGGGAGGCACGCGGGCUUUAAGCGUGUGUUGGGGGGGAAGGGGUACAACGGCGUCGAGGGGGAUCCGCCGUGUGAGAGGGUAAGGGCACACAUGGGCAGUGAGAUAGCCCCGAGUCUUACGGGGGGGAGAAGAGUGGAAUAUUUCACAAUGUGCGCAAGCCUGAGGCAGAGACGCGGCGUGUGCGAUGAGGGCGUUUGGGUUGUAAACACCUUUCUCAACCGACGAAGCCUGUGAGUGACGGUAGGUGGAGAAGAAGCACCGGCUAACUACGUG
rnacentral:rRNA from 1 species